AGUCGAACGAAGUAGCAAUACUUAGUGGCAGACGGGUGAGUAACAUGUAGGUAUCUGCCCUUUGACCUGGAAUAACACGAGGAAACUUGUGCUAAUACCGGAUAAGUCUUUACGGAGAAAGCUUUAUGCACCAUUGGAUGAGCCUGCACUUGAUUAGUUUGUUGGUGGGGUAAUGGCCUACCAAGACUGUGAUCAAUAGCUGAUUUGAGAGGAUGAUCAGCCACAUUGGGACUGAGACACGGCCCAAACUCCUACGGGAGGCAGCAGUGGGGAAUCUUGCACAAUGGAGGAAACUCUGAUGCAGCGAUGCCGCGUGAGUGAAGAAGGCCUUUGGGUUGUAAAGCUCUUUCGUCGGGGAAGAAAAUGACUGUACCCGAAUAAGAAGGUCCGGCUAACUUCGUGCCAGCAGCCGCGGUAAUACGAAGGGACCUAGCGUAGUUCGGAAUUACUGGGCUUAAAGAGUUCGUAGGUGGUUGAAAAAGUUAGUGGUGAAAUCCCAGAGCUUAACUCUGGAACUGCCAUUAAAACUUUUCAGCUAGAGUAUGAUAGAGGAAAGCAGAAUUU
rnacentral:rRNA from 1 species